rnacentral:rRNA from 1 species
UACAGAGGUCUCAAGCGUUGUUCGGAUUCAUUGGGCGUAAAGGGUGUGUAGGUGGCGCCGUAAGUCGGGUGUGAAAUUUCGGAGCUUAACUCCGAAACUGCAUUCGAUACUGCGGUGCUUGAGGACUGGAGAGGAGACUGGAAUUCAUGGUGUAGCAGUGAAAUGCGUAGAUAUCGUAAGGAAGACCAGUGGCGAAGGCGGAUCUCUGGACAGUUACUGACACUGAGGCACGAAGGCCAGGGGAGCAAACGGG